rnacentral:lncRNA from 1 species
AAUCCAAUGCAAAGGUUAGAGACUACAAUAUAUGGAUUUUGAUUUCGGCAUUUUUUAAUUAUGUUCAAUAGUUUAGAUAUUCAAAUUGGAUGACCUAUCAUUGAUUUUGAAGAACAAAUGACUAUCUCAGCUAUCCUGUUUAGAGCACCCUAGCUCUACUCUCUCUCCAUAUAUACAAUGGUAUGCUAAACCGGCCCGUACUGGACUGGUCCGAUAUGGCGGUGGAAAACGGUUUCGGCCCCAAAGAGGCCGGAACCGAGCGAUAUAGAAGUGUACCAGUGCGAACCGGACCGGUUUGCACCUGUACAGCUAUCUUCUUGUCGCUUUAAGCUCUUGCAAGUCUUGGUCCGGUUCACACCGGUACGACUAUCUUCUUGUCACUUUAAGUUUCUGCAGGUCUUGGCCUCUUCUUGUCACCCUUUUCCUUCUCUAAUCUCUUCAAAUCUGAUUCGACCUUCAAGGCUCCUUCCAGCACAUCUUUAUAACUACUGAAGAGGUGAGAUGACAAACGAGAUCGAAUCGGAUAUCUCAGACCUUGUUCAAAUCUAUUAGCCUUGCUCCUUUCGAACUCUGAGAGUUGGGGAUAGAGUCGGCCUAAUUUGUUAAAUUUGUUUGCAUGCUUUAAUAUUGUCAUGUCAUCCUUCUGCCCCAAAACC